GAAAUGCGAUAAGUAGUGUGAAUUGCAGAAUUCAGUGAAUCAUCGAAUCUUUGAACGCACAUUGCGCCCCUUGGUAUUCCAUGGGGCAUGCCUGUUCGAGCGUCAUUUGUACCCUCAAGCUCUGCUUGGUGUUGGGUGUUUGUCCACUAUCGUGGACUCGCCUUAAAGUCAUUGGCAGCCAGUGUUUUGGUAUUGAAGCGCAGCACAUUUUGCGCCUCUAGCCUAGAACACUAGCGUCCAGUAAGCCUUUUUCCACUUUUGACCUCGGAUCAGGUAGGGAUACCCGCUGAACUUAA
rnacentral:misc_RNA from 1 species